rnacentral:lncRNA from 1 species
GGCCUUUCUAGGAGCCAGCUUGCUUUCAUCUUACUGUUUUGAUUGUGCCUCACAAGGGACAACACUCCGAUUGUCUAGGAGGAGGAAGGUCAGGGACAGAAAAGUAAAAGCCAGGAGCAGCCUGUCCUGUCUGCCUGGGCUGCUGGGGAAUGAUUGUCAGUGAAUCGAGUUGUCUGUGGAGCCCCUGAGCAAAUUCUCCCAGUGGCAGAUCUCGCAAAAGGGGAGGAAGGCCUUCACCGCUGAACCCGAGCUUUGCCAUUUCGAAGUGCUGAGUCACCUCGUCCUCUCAGGGUCAGACACUUUCACGCAGGAAACGUCCUGCAGAGCACCGCAGCGGGAGCACCGAGCUGAUGUGGAAACUCAGAGAGGAUGCCACUGUUUUGAACUAUUUUGAAGGCACAGCCACCAGAGCUUUAGGUCAGAAGAGGUCCUUGGAACUGGAAUUACAGGUGGCUGUGAGCCUCCAGGUAGGUGCUGAGAAUCAAGCAGCCUGGCUCCUCUGUAGGAGCUCUAAGGAAUGCUCUUACCUGCUGAGCCAUCUGUCCAGCCCUGAUUGUCCUGGCUGUUAAUUGAGGAAGGAAGACUUACUCUGAGGGAGGGCUGAGCCAGUCCCCAGGCUGCUCCCUGAAUGGUAUGUAGAGGAGGGGAGCCAGCUAAGCACUGACCAGCGAGGGUGUGCACAUUUUCUUUGGUCUUUGUUUUGAAUGUGGUGUGGCUGGCUGCUUCAAUUCCUGACUUGAUUUCCUCAAAAGGAUAGGCUGUAACCCAGAAUGGUAAACUGCCUU